rnacentral:rRNA from 1 species
GUGGGGAAUAUUGGACAAUGGGCGAAAGCCUGAUCCAGCAAUGCCGCGUGAGUGAUGAAGGCCUUAGGGUUGUAAAGCUCUUUUACCAGGGAUGAUAAUGACAGUACCUGGAGAAUAAGCUCCGGCUAACUCCGUGCCAGCAGCCGCGGUAAUACGGAGGGAGCUAGCGUUGUUCGGAAUUACUGGGCGUAAAGCGCGCGUAGGCGGCUCAGCAAGUCAGGGGUGAAAUCCCGGGGCUCAACCCCGGAACUGCCUUUGAAACUGCUAGGCUAGAAUCCUGGAGAGGCGAGUGGAAUUCCGAGUGUAGAGGUGAAAUUCGUAGAUAUUCGGAAGAACACCAGUGGCGAAGGCGACUCGCUGGACAGGUAUUGACGCUGAGGUGCGAAAGCGUGGGGAGCAAACAGGAUUAGAAACCCUAGUAGUCC